rnacentral:lncRNA from 1 species
CUAACACCACCUUAAAUCCUGCACCUCUUUCCAACGCCGCUCUUCUACCGGUCAAGCUUCCGCCGCUCUUCUACCGGUCAACCUUCCGCCGCUCUUCCACCGGUCAACCUUCCGCCGCUCUUCCACCGAUCAACCUUCCGCUGCUCUUCUACCGGUCAACCUUCCGCUUCUCUUCUCUGUUGAUUCACAGGGUGAGUAUUUGGAACAAUGAAGGUGAAGAAGACCAAAAGAGAGGCGCAUACUGGGGAAAAAAAGAAGAAAAGAAACAGGGAACAAAAUGCUGAAGUUGAG